CCUACGUGUGGCAGCAGUGGGGAAUAUUGCGCAAUGGGCGAAAGCCUGACGCAGCGAUGCCGCGUGCGGGAUGAAGGUCUUCGGAUCGUAAACCUCUGUCAGCAGGGAAGAACGGUCACUGUGCUAAUCAGCAGUGAAUUGACGGUACCUGCAAAGGAAGCACCGGCUAACUCCGUGCCAGCAGCCGCGGUAAUACGGAGGGUGCGAGCGUUAAUCGGAAUUACUGGGCGUAAAGCGCUCGUAGGCGGUAUGUCAAGUCAAGGGUGAAAUCCCCGCGCUCAACGUGGGAACUGCCUUUGAAACUGGCAAACUGGAUGGUGUGAGAGGAUAGUGGAAUUCCAGGUGUAGGAGUGAAAUCCGUAGAUAUCUGGAGGAACAUCAGUGGCGAAGGCGACUAUCUGGCACAUAACUGACGCUGAGGAGCGAAAGCGUGGGUAGCAAACAGGAUUAGAUACCCGGGUAGUC
rnacentral:rRNA from 1 species